GAGUAUUUAAGGAGGAGGCUACCAGCAACUCACUGCCAGAGUGUUGCCCUUUGUGGUUACCUGAACCUGACUUUGCCUUCAGCAUCGAACCCAGCCUGGAUUACCGUCUUCUGGAAAGAAACUAUCCAGCUCCAUGAACCAAGACUCAAGCCUACUGUUACCUCAUUGGAUCAAACCAGUUGGCAGUCUCCUGAUUCCUUCGUUCGGUGGAUCUCCUUCUGUGAACCCUGUCCACCCUCCUUCUUCCAUUGCACCAACUACAGAAACUAUUGGACCAUCUAUCGUCCUGGCACACCAGUGUUCACAGUCUCCAGUCCCAUGGGUAAACAACCUUCUGGUCUCUCCACCCUCCUCUGGCGGAUCUCUCCUUCAAAUCAGUGAAACAGAAUUAUCAUUUAAGAACAUAGGUCCAGAGUUUCCCCUUGCUCACCGUUCUGUUUAUUUUACAGUUGGUAUCCCGGUUCCCGUUUCCUGCACAUUUUAACUUCCUGUAAAUAAACUCCUUACCGUUAAA